rnacentral:tRNA from 1 species
GUGGACGUGGUGUAGCGGCAACAUCCCUGGCUUCCACCCAGGUGUCGUCGGUUCGAUCCCGACCGUCCGCA